rnacentral:rRNA from 1 species
CGAUUCUGGCUCAGGAUGAACGCUGGCGGCGUGCCUAACACAUGCAAGUCGAGCGAUUUCUUCGGAGAAGAGCGGCGGACGGGUGAGUAACGCGUGGGUAACCUGCCUCAUACACAUGGAUAACAUACCGAAAGGUAUGCUAAUACAGGAUAAUAUAAGAGAUUCACAUGGAUUUCUUAUCAAAGCUCCGGCGGUAUGAGAUGGACCCGCGUCUGAUUAGCUAGUUGGUAGGGUAACGGCUUACCAAGGCGACGAUCAGUAGCCGACCUGAGAGGGUGAUCGGCCACAUUGGAACUGAGACACGGUCCAAACUCCUACGGGAGGCAGCAGUGGGGAAUAUUGCACAAUGGGCGAAAGCCUGAUUGCAGCAACGCCGCGUGAGUGAUGAAGGCCUUCGGGUCGUAAAACUCUGUCCUCAAGGAAGAUAAUGACGGUACUUGAGGAGGAAGCCCCGGCUAACUACGUGCCAGCCGCCGC